rnacentral:tRNA from 1 species
GGUAAAAUGGCCGAGAGAGUAAGGCAGUGGGUUGUAGCUCCAAUAACAGAGGUUUAAGUCCUCUUUUUACCA